rnacentral:rRNA from 1 species
UACGGAAGGCAGCAGUGGGGAAUAUUGCACAAUGGGCGCAAGCCUGAUGCAGCCAUGCCGCGUGUAUGAAGAAGGCCUUCGGGUUGUAAAGUACUUUCAGUCGUGAGGAAGGUGUUAAGGUUAAUAACCUUAGCAAUUGACGUUAGCGACAGAAGAAGCACCGGCUAACUCCGUGCCAGCAGCCGCGGUAAUACGGAGGGUGCGAGCGUUAAUCGGAAUUACUGGGCGUAAAGGGCACGCAGGCGGUUAAUUAAGUUGGAUGUGAAAUCCCCGGGCUUAACCUGGGAAUGGCAUUCAAGACUGGUUAGCUAGAGUCUUGUAGAGGGGGUAGAAUUCCGAUGUGUAGCGGUGAAAUGCGUAGAGAUGUGGAGGAAUACCGGUGGCGAAGGCGGCCCCUGGACAAAGGCUGACGCUCAUGUGCGAAAGCGUGGGGAGCAAACGAGGGAUUAGAUACC